CCUACGGGUGGCUGCAGUGGGGAAUUUUCCGCAAUGGGCGAAAGCCUGACGGAGCAAUACCGCGUGAGGGAUGACGGCCUAUGGGUUGUAAACCUCUUUUUUCAGGGAGGAAAAAAAUGACGUUACCUGAAGAAUAAGCAUCGGCUAACUCCGUGCCAGCAGCCGCGGUAAGACGGGGGAUGCAAGUGUUAUCCGGAAUCACUGGGCGUAAAGCGUCUGUAGGUGGUUUAAUAAGUCAACUGUUAAAUCUUGAGGCUCAACCUCAAAACCGCAGUCGAAACUAUUAGACUAGAGUAUAGUAGGGGUAAAGGGAAUUUCCAGUGGAGCGGUGAAAUGCGUAGAGAUUGGAAAGAACACCGAUGGCGAAGGCACUUUACUGGGCUAUUACUAACACUGAGAGACGAAAGCUAGGGUAGCAAAUGGGAUUAGAUACCCAAGUAGUC
rnacentral:rRNA from 1 species